rnacentral:rRNA from 1 species
GAUGAACGCUGGCGGCGUGCCUAAUACAUGCCAGUCGAGCGAACAGACGAGGAGCUUGCUCCUCUGACGUUAGCGGCGGACGGGUGAGUAACACGUGGAUAACCUACCUAUAAGACUGGGAUAACUUCGGGAAACCGGAGCUAAUACCGGAUAAUAUAUUGAACCGCAUGGUUCAAUAGUGAAAGACGGUUUUGCUGUCACUUAUAGAUGGAUCCGCGCCGCAUUAGCUAGUUGGUGAGGUAACGGCUUACCAAGGCAACGAUGCGUAGCCGACCUGAGAGGGUGAUCGGCCACACUGGAACUGAGACACGGUCCAGACUCCUACGGGAGGCAGCAGUAGGGAAUCUUCCGCAAUGGGCGAAAGCCUGACGGAGCAACGCCGCGUGAGUGAUGAAGGUCUUCGGAUCGUAAAACUCUGUUAUUAGGGAAGAACAAAUGUGUAAGUAACUAUGCACGUCUUGACGGUACCUAAUCAGAAAGCCACGGCUAACUACGUG